GGCGUAGGCGGCCCGGUCAGUCGGGUGUGAAAACCCUUGGCUCAACCAAGGAACGGCACCCGAUACUACCGGGCUUGAGGCGAUUAGGGGCGAUUGGAACUCUCGGUGGAGCGGUGAAAUGCGUAGAUAUCGAGAGGAACGCCAAUGGUGAAGACAGGUCGCUAGGAUCGUCCUGACGCUGAGGCCCGAAAGCUAGGGGAGCAAACGGGAUUAGAUACCCCGGUAGUCCUAGCCCUAAACGAUGCACACUAGGUGGGGGAGUCUCUGACAGACAUCCCUGCCGCAGGGAAACCGUUAAGUGUGCCGCCUGGGAAGUACGGUCGCAAGGCUAAA
rnacentral:rRNA from 1 species